GGGGGGGGGGGGGUUCUUAGCCGUACAGGAGGAAAAUUAUUACGAGGGAGUGGUAUAUUAUAUAUGUGAUGUUGUGUUGUUGUUCACGCGGCUGUUAUGCAUAUGUUAUGUUGUGUUGUGUUGUGUUGUUGUUCAAGUUGAAAAUGUUCUCGAGUGAGUAUUUCAUAAUUUCCAAUUUCCAGGCCGCGCGCAAGCAGAUUUAUAUCCCAUGAACUUGCUCUCACCAAGGCAUGUGGUACAACACGGUGACUCAACGCACCCAGACAUGCGCAGAGCGUAAUGGGGCCAGAUUGCUCAAACGACCACAAGGGAAGUGAGCUUUGGAUUAUCGCUAAUAGACACCCAUUAACAACUCCGUAGGGUGCUCAACAACAUUAUUGGUAUAACCAUCAAUAGGUAAUCUAUAGGUAUUAACCACUUGUAACCUGAGUUGUAGAAGUGCAACGCUAACAAUGGGGGAUUUCAAAGAAAGAGGCCUGAAACGCUAACAAUGGGCGCUCUGGGGGACAAGCUAAGGCUGGUCGUGUCAAGGCGUGGAGGCUAGAUAGAUAUUAAGUGUAGAAUUUUCCAGUAUUUAAUAUUGAUUCUAACAAUUCGUCAAAUGAGAGUUUUUCAAAGAACAAGGUGUGUGAGCUCAGCGGCUUGAGAACUCCUCUUAUACAUCCCUGUCUACUUAUCGUUAUAAUUAUGCCAACAGAUAAUCACAUAUGUUUGGAUAAGUCCAUCUUUGAUCCCAUUUUAUAACAUGCAUCGUAACUAUUCACUACGUUUAACGCUCGUCAUGCAAAUCUAACUUUCAGUCACCGUCUAUGGAGGCAGAAAUCAAAUUAGAUUUUCCAUUGAUUUCUUCAGUGACAAAACUUUAUGCUCCAGGCUGAACAUACGCGACAUCCUGCGUUGUCUGUACUUAUAAUCAGGUGGAUAUAAACUGUCCAGAACUAUUUCGUCUGUUUCAGGCUCAGGGUCAACGUCCAAACUCGCUCCAAUCU